GUCCAAGAUAAAAAAAUAACUCUGUUGUUGGUUGUAACCGGGCCAGAUGUCCUGGGGCAGCUAUUCCGACGGACGAAUCAGAGGCAUUUGGCUCAUUGACAUCGAUUAAUGUCUGAUGCCAAGCGAACGAUCUUGAUUAUCUCGUUCGCGUCCUCGUAGCCCCAACUACUCUCCUUCCCUUGCCUGAGACCCGCACCCAACCAUCUCCCCAACCCUGAUCCCUCCUACCUUGGCUAGGACAAACCAUGCGCCGCCGCUCACAAUCACCACAGGAGAAAGCCCACCGAAUCGCCACCCCACCGGAAAAGCUAGAUCGACCGGUCGUUGCCGCAUCGAGGAAUCUGUGAUGUCGUUGCGCAGGUCAUUUAUGUCCCGGUUCCGGUCAUUGCCACAUCGAGGACUCCGCACCGCCAAUGUGGAGCUCGCUUCUGUCUUGAUUCCGAUCGUUGCCGCAUCGAGGACUCCACGCUGCCGUUGCGGAGGUUGCUUUUGUCCCGGUUCUGGUCAUUGUCGCAUCCAGGACUCCGCGUCGCCGCUGCGGAGGUAGCUGUUGUCCCACUUCCAGUCCUUUCCGCAUCAGGGACUCCGCACAUAUGUUUCUGAGGUCGUUGCAAUCUCGAUUCUAGGAGUGUCGCAUCGAGGACUCCACGCCAUUUCUGUGUAUGUCGUUGUUGUCCUAAUUCCGGGAGCGAUGUGCCCUUGUUUUCAGCGAAGUAACCGCAACAGUGAGCCUCCCAGCACCCGUGCCUCUUUCGACUCGUCGACUCCUCGGCAACAAAUAUGCCUUGUACGUGUCUCAUGUGUACCCAUUAACUAAUUCCCCUCCCCUCGUUCAUUUCUUGGGCUUGUUCUUUUGACACUAAUGGUGUGUUCAGCACAUGGAGCUCGUGUUGUAAAAUGAAAGGUAGAGAGAACCGAGACGAUGAAGGCCGACGCCCAGCUCGAGCAAGAAGUCAGCUCUACUAUUCUAUUUGUCAUUUUAAGAGAUGGUCCAUAUCUUGGAAACUGGAAAGAGACCCAUUACUGAAUGAUAAAUCAACAAUUCUGGUUUCCAUGGUACAGUACAUUAUUUCUAUGUAUUUUCAGCAUGACAUUAGAUGCUUUUUCUAACGAAUCACUCCUUGCUAAGGAUUGUAGGGAUUUUAUUAACAAAUCACCAUUCCAGCUUAUAAAAUUAGAAUGAUUUGAUCUUGGCAAUGGCUAGGAUAGUCAACUGGUCGCUUCUAGAGAAAGAUGAAGAGGCUCGAUGCAGCGCUGCGGGCGGGGAUGGCUUGAUGCAGCCAAGGGAUCCUUCCAUAGGAAUACACACGGUCUCCGACAGCCACGGCAACGGCAAACCAGAGCGGAUCGCCAAGGGCCCUUCCUAGAGGAAUGCACACGUUGUCUGGCAGCCAUGGGUGAUGCGUAGGUCGCUAAUUCGUCUUUCCCGUUCAUCCUGUCGUUUCUCUUUCAUACCCCUCCUCUUCCCCUACUUAUCCAUCUAAUGUAGAAUAUUGAUUGUUUUCAUACUAUACUUUGUACUCACAACCGAAUGUGGGUUCUCCGUAGACCCAUAAAAGGUUCAAACUCUGGGGUGCGCUCGCUCUCCUAUCCUGUUCUACCUCUCAACUUCAUUGUGACUCUCCGAUGGCUCGAGCUAAGGAAAGCAAACAAGAACACACGAG
rnacentral:lncRNA from 1 species